GACGAACGCUGGCGGCGGGCCUAACACAUGCAAGUCGAACGGAAAGGCCCUGCUUUUGUGGGGUGCUCGAGUGGCGAACGGGUGCGUAACACGUGAGUAACCUGCUCUUCACUUUGAGAUAAGUUCAGGUAACUGGGGCUACUAUAGGAUAGCAGCUCCUGCUGCAUGGUGGGGGGUGGAAAGUUUCGGCGGUUGUGGAUGGACGCGCGGCUUAUCAGCUAGUUAGUGGGGUAGUGGCUUACCAAGGCUUUGACCGGUAGCCGGCCUGAGAGGGUGACCGGGCACAUUAGUACUGAGGGACGGACCAGACUCCAACGGUAGGCAGCAGGGGGGAAUAUGGCACAGUGGGCGGGAGCCUGAUGCGGCGGCGCCGGGUGCGGGAUGACGGCCUUCGGGUUGAGAACCGCAUUCGCCUGAGACGAAGCGGGAGUGACGGUAAUGAGUAAAGAAGCACCGGCUAACUACGUG
rnacentral:rRNA from 1 species